AUUGAACGCUGGCGGAAUGCUUUACACAUGCAAGUCGAACGGUAGAGGGGGCAACCCCUCGAGAGUGGCGAACGGGUGAGUAAUAUAUCGGAACGUGCCCAGUCGUGGGGGAUAACGUAGCGAAAGUUACUCUAAUACCGCAUACGAUCUAAGGAUGAAAGCGGGGGAUCGCAAGACCUCGCGCGAUUGGAGCGGCCGAUAUCAGAUUAGGUAGUUGGUGGGGUAAAGGCUCACCAAGCCAACGAUCUGUAGCUGGUCUGAGAGGACGACCAGCCAAACUGGAACUGAGACACGGUCCAGACUCCUACGGGAGGCAGCAGUGGGGAAUUUUGGACAAUGGACGCAAGUCUGAUCCAGCCAUUCCGCGUGCAGGAUGAAGGCCCUCGGGUUGUAAACUGCUUUUGUACGGAACGAAAAGGUCUCUCUUAAUACGGGGGGCUCAUGACGGUACCGUAAGAAUAAGCACCGGCUAACUACGUGCCAGCAGCCGCAGUAA
rnacentral:rRNA from 1 species